rnacentral:rRNA from 1 species
GAUGAACGCUAGCGGCAGGCUUAAUACAUGCAAGUCGAGGGGCAGCACGGUUAGCAAUAACUGGUGGCGACCGGCGCACGGGUGCGUAACACGUAUACAAUCUACCUUAAACAGGGGGAUAGCCUUUCGAAAGAGAGAUUAAUACCCCGUAAUAAAUUGAACGGCAUCGUUUGAUUUUGAAAGCUCCGGCGGUUUGAGAUGAGUAUGCGUCUGAUUAGCUAGUUGGUGAGGUAACGGCUCACCAAGGCGACGAUCAGUAGGGGAUCUGAGAGGACUAACCCCCACACUGGUACUGAGACACGGACCAGACUCCUACGGGAGGCAGCAGUAAGGAAUAUGGUCAAUGGAGGCAACUCUGAACCAGCCAUGCCGCGUGCAGGAUGACGGCCCUAUGGGUUGUAAACUGCUUUUAUACAAGAGAAAACCCUGGUACGUGUACCAGGUUGAUAGUAUUGUAAGAAUAAGCAU